GGAGGGAUGGCAGAGCCCGGCCAAAUGCGUGAGACUCAAGGUCUGGUGAACCCCGCCGAACAAUGAAGCGGGGCUGCCGAUAAGGCAUCUCAUCCCUUAGGGGUUCGGGGGUUCAAAUCCCUCUCCCUCCA
rnacentral:tRNA from 1 species